rnacentral:rRNA from 1 species
CCUACGGGUGGCAGCAGUCGAGAAUCAUUCACAAUGGGCGAAACCCUGAUGGUGCGACGCCGCGUGGGGGAAUGAAGGUCUUCGGAUUGUAAACCCCUGUCAUGUGGGAGCAAAUUAAAAAGAUAGUACCACAAGAGGAAGAGACGGCUAACUCGGUGCCAGCAGCCGCGGUAAUACAGAGGUCGCAAGCGUUGUUCGGAAUCACGGGGCGUAAAGCGUGCGUAGGCGGUUUCGUAAGUCGUGUGUGAAAGGCGCGGGCUCAACCCGCGGACGGCACAUGAUACUGGGAGACUAGAGUAAGGGAGGGGGAACCGGAAUUCUCGGUGUAGCAGUGAAAUGCGUAGAUAUCGAGAGGAACACUCGUGGCGAAGGCGGGUUCCUGGACAUUAACUGACGCUGAGGAACGAAGGCCAGGGGAGCGAAAGGGAUUAGAUACCCGAGUAGUC